GUCAGUUAGCUCAGUUGGUAGAGCAUCAAACUCUUAAUCUCAGGGUCAUGGGUUUGAACCCCACGUUGGACA